rnacentral:sRNA from 1 species
UCAUAACAUGCUUGCAUGCAUGCCUUUGAUGUAUCUUUGAUGCCUUAAAAGCUUGUGUUGUAUGCUCCAUGUUUGGAUGCUUCCAUGUUUAAGCCACUUAGAUGCCAUCUACGUGUUCCCUUUGCAUGGUCUAGGCCUACCUUGAACCUGUUUUAAGCCUUCU